AUACGUAGGGUGCUAGCGUUAAUCGGAAUUACUGGGCGUAAAGCGUGCGCAGGCGGUUUUGUAAGACAGAGGUGAAAUCCCCGGGCUCAACCUGGGAACUGCCUUUGUGACUGCAAGGCUAGAGUACGGCAGAGGGGGAUGGAAUUCCGCGUGUAGCAGUGAAAUGCGUAGAUAUGCGGAGGAACACCGAUGGCGAAGGCAAUCCCCUGGGCCUGUACUGACGCUCAUGCACGAAAGCGUGGGGAGCAAACAGGAUUAGAUACCCUAGUAGUCC
rnacentral:rRNA from 1 species